UGUGUAUAGGAAGCUUCCUAGAAAAUGCAGAAGUAACUUCCUAGAAAAGCUAUAGGAAACUUCCUAGAAAUACAAGGGAAACUUCCUAGAAAUUUCCUUUUCCUACCUAUAAAUAGAAGCUUAGGAAUUCAUUUUCCUUUGCUCAUUUCUCUUCUUCUUCUUUACUCUAUACGUUGGUGUUAUAACCAAUAAUCACCAAAGCGAAGUUCUGUCCGAUCGAUUCAUGAACCAACUAACGGAUGCCAAAGUACUAUACUUUGUGAGUUCGUUAAACGGAUGCCAAAGUACUAUACUUUGUGAGUUCGUUAAACGGAUGCCAAAGUACUAUACUUUGUGAGUUCGUUAAACGGAUGCCAAAGUACUAUACCUUGUGAUUUCGGUAAACGGAAUCCAAAGUGUUACACUUUGUAAAUUUCGUUAAGGUUCGAAUCUCGUGACUACCGUUAAGGUUUGAUUUGGGUUUUACACAAAUACGUAUUCCAUUCUGUUAAACUAUAUAACUACCAAAAAUACUCCCAACUACACACUCACAAUCAAACAAACCAUUAAAUCAUCAGAAGAUCCAGAAUAAUAAAGUACAUGCUUAAUUAUCGGAAGAAGUAGAAUCAAGAAGCUUGUUAACUCAAUCUUGCAUGCUUAUAAAGUGAGUCAUUCUUCUUUUAAACUGUUUUCUCACAGUUUGUGAGUAAGUAUUACAAUACCUCAAAUUAUUUUCAAGGUUAUAAUUACAGGGAUUAAGUCUUUGUAAUCACCAAAUUACAGCUGGUAUGGGGUAUUGUGCACAUUACUAUUUCUAUCACUCUAUUAAACCGUCACUAUUGGGGCGACGGGACCCAAUAGUGGUAUGACCACAGUCACAGAUCCGGUCGAGUGACAAAUACCCAUUCUUGAUAAUUGGUUGAUGAAAACAUUGUAAUCGCUCUUAAUACUGUGAAUUAUAACAAAUCUGUUUUUAUAAAACCUGAAUGAACUCACUCAGUAUUUCCCGCUGACAAAACCUUUUUAAAAACGCGUUUCAGGUAAUUACAGUAUAUUGGAGUAAGAAUUGGAUCCGGCACCGAAGGCAUCAAGAAGUGGCUUGUUUUAUUAAUUAAAUCAAAUUAAGAAAUAUUGUUUUUAUUAAAAGCUACCUUUGUAAAACUUGGAAUUCAUUCCAUCCAUUUAAAUAAAAUCCGGUGUUUCUAAACUCUGAUAUUUUCCUAACUCACGGUCCUGAUGAAAUUUCCGCUGCAAUGUUUUUCAAAAUAAUCACCGGUACCACUGGACUGCUCGCGGCUCCCGAUUCCGUCCAGG
rnacentral:lncRNA from 1 species